GACGAACGCUGGCGGCGUGCUUAACACAUGCAAGUCGAACGGAAAGGCCUGCUUUCCCUUGUGGAUUGCGGGUACUCGAGUGGCGAACGGGUGAGUAACGCGUGAGUGAUCUGCCCCCAACUUGGGUAUAAGCCUGGGAAACUGGGUCUAAUUCCCGAUAGGACUGCAGGGUGGUGCCUGUGGUGGAAAACGAUUUUCUAGUGGUUGGGGAUGAGCUCGCGGCCUAUCAGCUUGUUGGUGGGGUAAUGGCCUACCAAGGCGGCGACGGGUAGCCGGCCUGAGAGGGUGGACGGCCACAUUGGGACUGAGAUACGGCCCAGACUCCUACGGGAGGCAGCAGUGGGGAAUAUUGCACAAUGGGCGGAAGCCUGAUGCAGCGACGCCGCGUGGGGGAUGACGGCCUUCGGGUUGUAAACUCCUUUCGACCGCGAGGAAGCCACCUGGUUGGAAGGGUGGUGACGGUAGUGGCAGAAGAAGCACCGGCUAACUACGUG
rnacentral:rRNA from 1 species